rnacentral:rRNA from 1 species
UACGAAGGGGGCUAGCGUUGCUCGGAAUCACUGGGCGUAAAGCGCACGUAGGCGGAUCUUUAAGUCAGGGGGGAAAUCCUGGAGCUCAACUCCAGAACUGCCUUUGAUACUGGGGAUCUCGAGUCCGGAAGAGGUGAGUGGAACUCCGAGUGUAGAGGUGAAAUUCGUAGAUAUUCGGAAGAACACCAGUGGCGAAGGCGACUUACUGGACACAUAUUGACGCUGAGGUGCGAAAGCGUGGGGAGCAAACAGG